GAGUUUGAUCUUGGCUCAGGAUGAACGCUAGCGGCAGGCUUAACACAUGCAAGUCGAGGGGUAGAGUAGCAAUACUUGAGACCGGCGCACGGGUGCGUAACGCGUAUGCAACCUACCUUUUACAGAGGGAUAGCCCAGAGAAAUUUGGAUUAAUACCUCAUAGUAUAUGUCUUUCGCAUGUUAGACAUAUUAAAGUUCCAACGGUAAAGAUGGGCAUGCGUCCUAUUAGCUAGAUGGUAAGGUAACGGCUUACCAUGGCAACGAUAGGUAGGGUCCUGAGAGGGAGAUCCCCCACACUGGUACUGAGACACGGACCAGACUCCUACGGAGCAGCAGUGAGGAUAUUGGACAAUGGGCGCAAGCCUGAUCCAGCCAUGCCGCGUGCAGGAAG
rnacentral:rRNA from 1 species